GGAGCGGGUUGCCAUUUCCUUUUCCAAUGCAUGAAAAUGAAAAGUGAAAGUGAAGUUGCUCAGUCGUGUCCGACUCUUUGCGACCCCAUGGACUGCAGCCCACCAGGCUCCUCUGUCCAUGGGUUUAACCUGAGGCCUGCAUCAAAGGAAGGAGGCCCUGAAGAUUCCUGAGGACUUGCAGGAUGAUGGCACUUCCAGUCGCUUGCCUUCAGGAGGGCAUUGAAGGGUCUUCAUAAAGACCGACAGGCCUUUCCUCUGCGCUCCUUCUGGACUCCAUCACUUCAGGACCAAGCUGGGACCACUUCUCAGGACUGACUUUUGGACCCUCUGACUCUGCCUCCUGCCCAGUGUUUCCUAAAUUCUCCCGUUUCAAUAAAUGGAAUUGAGAGAAGUCGUCUUCCCAAAGCAACAUUCAUGGAGCACUUUCUGGAGAGCGAAGCACAGACCCUCUGUCUCAUAAAAGUCCUAAAGGUGCUUCAUGAUGAGAUUUCCUGGGCGGUGAACCGGUGCCUCUCUCCAGAGUAUGAAGAGCAGAGCCUGUGGUGGGUAAUAGAGCAGCGGUGGGUGCGCCUGGCUGUGUCUUUAUGGAGGAACCUAAAAAACUGGGUUUGAGGGGUAAACACAAAGUUUUCAUUUGUUUUCAUUUUACUGAAACCAACUUAAUUCUGAUGUGACCUUUCCAGUGCUGAAAAGCUGGUCCCCUGCAUGGCCUCGGAGUGGCACAUUGUCCAUCUGUGUUGUAUUAGAAGGAAAGACCAACAUUUUUUGGCUUCAUGUUCAUGGUGGCUUAAUUUUCAACAGAAAGGGAAGAUUUAAACAAAAGAUU